rnacentral:misc_RNA from 1 species
GAUGAAGAACGUAGCGAAAUGCGAUACGUAAUGUGAAUUGCAGAAUUCAGUGAAUCAUCGAAUCUUUGAACGCACAUUGCGCCCCCUGGUAUUCGGGGGGGCAUGCCUGUCCGAGCGUCAUUACAACCCUCAAGCUCAGCUUGGUGUUGGGCCCCGCCGCCCCGGCGGGCCCUAAAGUCAGUGGCGGUGCCGUCCGGCUCCGAGCGUAGUAAUUCUUCUCGCUCUGGAGGUCCGGUCGUGUGCUCGCCAGCAACCCCCAAUUUUUUUCAGGUUGACCUCGGAUCAGGUAGGGAUACCCGCUGAACUUAAGCAUAUCAAUAAGCGGAGGA